rnacentral:rRNA from 1 species
UAAUCUGCCCAGUGAAGUAUUUUAACGGCCGCAGUACCCUGACUGUGCAAAGGUAGCAUAAUCAUUUGACUUUUAAAUGGAGCCUAGAAUGAAUGGAAGAACGUAGAUAGCUUGUCUCGGUAGCAUUACUUUGAAAUUAACAUAUGAGUGAAAAUGCUCAUAAGUUUAAAAAUAGACGAGAAGACCCUUAGAAUUUUAAAAAUAUUGCCCGUAAGGUCUUGUAAGAUUUUUUGUUGGGGCAACAAUAUUUCAUAAAAUAAAUAUAUUAUUGGAGUUAUAGGUCGAUUUAAUAGUUAUAGAAAAAUUACCUAAGGGAUAACAGCAUAAUUUUAAACACAAAGUUUGUGACCUCGAUGUUGGACUAGGUACUAUUAAGGCUAAUCGUUUUAA